UCAAUGCAAACCAGUAUCAGAUGCAUGUUAAUGUUAAGUGAUGAAUAGGUAAUAAUCACCGUGAAAUUUGUGACCAAACGCCAGUUAUGAUCAAAUUCAACAGCGCUAGAUAGGUACGAUGGGCUGAAUGGCCAGCUCCCAUUCAUUGGUAAGGUGCCAACUAUGACUCGUAUUGAUAGGAACAAGUCAAUGGAGCAUAGCUAUCACCAUUCGCUAAUAGUUUAAAAGACGAGGGACCAAUAUAAAAUUUUGGACAGAAGGUGCAGAGAGACAGCAGUUCCAAUCUGGACACACAAGGAUAGACAUAAAAUGCUGGAGUAACUCAGCUGGUCAGACAGCAUCUCUGGAGAGAACGAAUAGGUGACGUUUCAGGUCGAGGCCCUUCUUCAAACUGAGAGUCAUGGGAAACGGAAACGAGAGGUAUAGAAGUGAUGCCAGUACGCUGUGUACCAUUACCAUGCCAAUGCGUGUGCCGGAACAGAAAAACCACAGCUCCCAAUUAAGCCGUGUAGUUUUUCGUGGCUUCCUGCACAUUAGGCUUAUUAAGCUGGCACCGAGUUGCUGAUAAUUGGAGGCCAUAACAACUGGCGUGAAAUAAAAUACCAGUUCCUCCCAUUUCCUGGAGCAUAUGGGAGAGAUGUUGUUUCUCAGGUGUUAAAAAGUCUUGGUGGCCUGGCAACUGAUCGGCCUCAUGUGAGCGGACUGCAGCACCUCUGAAGGAAGGAAUAUGUCGGAAAGAUGCUUGUUUAACCAGAAGAUAGACACAAAAUACUGAAGUAACUCGGUGGGACAGACAGACUGGAGAGAAGGAAUGGGUGACGUUUCAGGUCGAGACCCUUCUUCAGACUGAAUAUAUUCCACCUCCUUCAGUUUUAUUCUGGAUGUUGCAAAGUGAAGCUCCAGCAAAAAUGUGAUGUAUUACAUAACGAAUGUUUAAUUUAGCUUAAGGAUACAGUGCAGAAACAGGCCCUUCGGCCCGCCGAGUCCAUGCCGACCAACUAUCCCCGCACACUAACACUGUCCUACACACACUAGGGGCAAUUUACAAUUUUACCAAGCCAAGUAGCCAACAAACCUGUACGUCUUUGGAGUGUGGGAGGAAACUGGAACUCCCGGAGAAAACCCACCCAGGUCACGGGGAGAAUGUACAAACUUCGUACAGACAAGCACCCAUGGUCAGAAUUGAACCCGGGUCUCUGACGCUGUAAGGUAGCAACUCUACCACUGCACCCGCCCUUUAAUUGUGGGAUGGAACAAAAUUGCAUAACAUCAAUUUGUAUUUUGUGCCUUUAUAAGAACAGAGUGUUCUUGCUGGAGACCCAGGUUUGAUCCUGUCCUCGGAUGCUGUCUAUGUGGAGUUUGCACAUUCUUAUGGCCAUGAGGGUUUCCUUCAGGUGUUCUUGCUUUCUCCCCCAUCCCAUAGCAAGCUCCACAUGGACAGCAACUGGGUUUGUAGGUUAAUUUCCCUCUAAACUAUCACUAGUAUGCAGGAAGUGGGUGCAAAAGUGAGAUAACAUAGAACUAGUGUGAACGGGUGAUCAGUGGUCAGCACGGAUUUGGUGGGCAAUGCUAUAUCUCUAAACUAAACUAAAAUUUUCACCAAGGACUGAAGUAGGUGACAACCUGUUUGCUCAGAAUUGAGUCUUAUGGAGUGUCCUUAAGUUGGAAACUGAGCUGGAGGGAUAGAAAGGCUUUGAUAGUUUAAGACAAACAUGGCUAAAUCUCAGCAAAGGGAACGUAUUCGCUCAGAAUGUCUCUGCCAUAAUCACCAUUUCUUAUAGCGAUUUGGGAAAAGUGCAGCAGAGAUUCCAAAAUUAAAUGGCUUUUUAAACUAUUUUACUUGGGAUUCUCACCAAAGCUAAGGUUGGAGAGUCAUAGAGUCAUACAGCAUGAAAACAGGCCUUUCGGCCCAACUGAUCCAUGCCGACCAAGAUGCCCCAUCUAAGCUAGUCCCAUAUGUUCAUGUUUCGCCCACAUUCCUCGAAUCCUUCCUAUCCGUGUACUUAUCCAAGUGUCUUUUAAACACUGCCCCAACUACCUUCUCUGGCAGCUCGUUCCAUAUAGCUCAGCUUAUAUUGUUGUCAUUCAAGGUCGGCAGAGUUAUGGUUGUCCACCCUCCCAGAAUUAUCCUGGAAUCCCCAGGUAUUUAAAAUUAAUCUCCUGGACACAACUGGGGAGGUCAUUAAGAAAAUUGUGUUGUUAUUAUUUUCACAGAACACUUGUUUAGUGGUUAUACAUACAAGCCCAUUGGUAAACGCAUUGAUGUGUGGCAUGCUCUGUGGUCAUCAGGUGAAAUGGCCACUACAUUUCAGCCAUGGGCUGCUGCAACAAACUUCAUCCAGUCGGAGACGAACAGCUGAUCAGGGCCCUGGAUGGAUGGGCUGAGGUCAGAGAGGGGUAGACGAGGGUGGUCAGUCCAGAGGGGAAACCCCUCAAAGAAGGUAAGGCAUAUGACAGGGUGGCCACCUAAGGAAUCUUCAGCCUUGGAGGGAUUGGUUUGAUGGGCAGGGUUCAGUGAUCAACUUUCAGGACUAUUGAUGGUGGGAAGAUAGGUCCAGACUCACACCUCAUUCCUGAAUGUAAUCAAAAGAAAUUGCAGAUGCUGGUUUAUACCAAAGAUAGACACAAAAUGCUGGCGUAACUCAGAAUCUCUGGUGAACAUGAAUAGUUGACGUUUAGGGUUGGGACCCACCUUCAAACUGAUUGUCCUUCCUGAAUGGCCUGGCUGGAAGGAUUGGGGAGGGCUUCUGGUUCAAUGGCUUAACUGGGGCCUGGAGGGUUCUUCACACCAGGCAGAGUCACUGUGCUGUGUUUGACUGGCUGGAAAUCGGUGCCUUGUGAGGGAUGGGGUGAGGAUCAGUUCAAUUCAAUUCAACUUUAAUGUCAUCGCACAAAAUACAAGUAUCAGUACAACGAAAUGCAGUUUUGCGUCAGUCCGUAGUAGUUGUAC